AUUGAACGCUGGCGGCAUGCCUUACACAUGCAAGUCGAACGGUAACAGGCCGCAAGGUGCUGACGAGUGGCGAACGGGUGAGUAAUGCAUCGGAACGUGCCCAGUCGUGGGGGAUAACUGCUCGAAAGAGCAGCUAAUACCGCAUACGACCUGAGGGUGAAAGCGGGGGACCGUAAGGCCUCGUGCGAUUGGAGCGGCCGAUGUCAGAUUAGCUAGUUGGUGGGGUAAGGGCCUACCAAGGCAACGAUCUGUAGUUGGUCUGAGAGGACGACCAGCCACACUGGGACUGAGACACGGCCCAGACUCCUACGGGAGGCAGCAGUGGGGAAUUUUGGACAAUGGGCGCAAGCCUGAUCCAGCAAUGCCGCGUGCAGGAAGAAGGCCUUCGGGUUGUAAACUGCUUUUGUCAGGGAAGAAAUCCUCUGGGUUAAUACCUCGGGGGGAUGACGGUACCUGAAGAAUAAGCACCGGCUAACUACGUGCCAGCCGCCGCCGUAAUAC
rnacentral:rRNA from 1 species